UGUUUGACAUCUGUUGUUUAACAUACAAAAUUGUAUUAUCAUGACGCAAGCUGCACGGCUGGGACUAAAGCCUGCCUCGAAUUGUGAAAACCAUACUCCCCCACUGCCUCUGCCCGCUCUUUACCAGAAGACUAUAUAAUUGGGCCCUGAACAUUUUCACUGAAGGCUGUAAAUUCCCCUUCCGUUUCAUCCCAGACAUUUUGGAAUUUUCUAAGACAGCCGCCUUGGGAGAACUCGUGGACAGGAGGAGCCAGGACAGAGGCGGGAAGGGUAAACACAGGUGCCUUUGCUAAAGCUUUGACGUGGUUCCAGCAGGUCGGUGAGGAAGAGGCUGGGAGCGAGGGCACCUCAAUGCUAAAGCUGGAACUUUCUGCCACCCUUGUCCACAGUUUUUAAUUAAGGGCCUGUAUCGCUCAGAACCUGUAAAAAUACCCGUGUGUUUCCAAUGAGGCUACUCGGGGCUGAUACUCAGAAACAUUCCCUGUUACCCAAACAUCUCAUUAAAGC
rnacentral:lncRNA from 1 species